UAGCGUUAGUGAAGUGUUAGCCAGGCAGAGCGCACGACAAGCUGCCCAGCACACCAGAUCAUUAUAAACAACUAACGUUAAAAGAGUGCAUUAUAAGUGAAGGAUUUAACGUGGAGCGUUUGCUUUGCUGCAUCAGGACGUUGUCAAGAAUUUGAUUUGAUGUCGACAGAGAUGAAGGUUUGACCGAUUUCACGUCAAGCAUAGGAGCCCUACCACAAAUGCUGGAGAGUGCCGUCAAAUCCAGAUGGAAAGACUGAGGAGUUGAAAGCUGAUUCUACCCUGGAAAGGAGUAAUUUUCUCUUUUAGAGGGGAUGGAAGACCAAGCAGAUACUAUAUUAAAAAGUGCUACACAAUGAUGGUUGUUCUUGCAUAUCUUCUGCCACCGUUGCAUGGAAGUCGAUGCAAUGUUAAAUCUGAAAUUUCAUUUCUUUCAAUUUAAUUUUGUACCGCGUGGAGCCACUAUUGCAUCCCUCUGCAGCAGUUUUGAGACCGCAUCAAAGACCAGACCACAGCCGAUCUACAUUGGAAGUUUGAAGAGCACAGCAUGACAGUACAUCAUUACGAGGAUUGACAGAGUAACCAUUCCUGUGGAUGAGGGCCUGAUGUGCUGUGGACAAUAUAUUCUAGGUGUGAAACUUGUCCUGUCCACCACAGAUUAGUUUGGUCUUUUCUUUCUAAGACUGGAGCAUCUAAUAUUGAAACACCACAUUCUCUUCUUUUUAAAACUGACAUCGUUUCGCUAGAAAACAACCUCUUCUUCAGCUGUGAUUGCGUACAGCCCGUUUAAACACUUCAAAGACUUUUAAAACUGCAUUGAUUUGGACUUAAAAACGAUGG